rnacentral:rRNA from 1 species
GACGAACCGUGCGAACGUUAUUCGGAAUCACUGGGCUUAAAGCGCGUGUAGGCGGCUCGGCACGUCCGUCGCUGAAAUCCCCCGGCUCAACCGGGGAAGGGGCGCGGAUACGACCGGGCUGGAGGGAGGUAGGGGGCGCCGGAACUGCCGGUGGAGCGGUGAAAUGCGUUGAGAUCGGCAGGAACGCCCGUGGCGAAAGCGGGCGCCUGGACCUUACCUGACGCUGAGACGCGAAAGCCAGGGGAGCGAACGGG